rnacentral:tRNA from 1 species
GCCGCCUUAGCUCAGUUGGUUAGAGCGCUGGAAUGUGGAUCCAGAGGUCCCCUGUUCAAGCCAGGGAGGCGGUACCA